AGGGAAGAACAAGUACCGUUGGAAUAGGGCGGCACCUUGACGGUACCUAACCAGAAAGCCACGGCUAACUACGUCCCAGCAGCCGCGGUAAUACGUAGGUGGCAAGCGUUGUCCGGAAUUAUUGGGCGUAAAGCGCGCGCAGGCGGUUUCUUAAGUCUGAUGUGAAAGCCCCCGGCUCAACCGGGGAGGGUCAUUGGAAACUGGGGAACUUGAGUGCAGAAGAGGAGAGUGGAAUUCCACGUGUAGCGGUGAAAUGCGUAGAGAUGUGGAGGAACACCAGUGGCGAAGGCGACUCUCUGGUCUGUAACUGACGCUGAGGCGCGAAAGCGUGGGGAGCGAACAGGAUUAGAUACCCUGGUAGUCCACGCCGUAAACGAUGAGUGCUAAGUGUUAGAGGGUUUCCGCCCUUUAGUGCUGCAGCAAACGCAUUAAGCACUCCGCCUGGGGAGUACGGUCGCAAGACUGAAACUCAAAGGAAUUGACGGGGGCCCGCACAAGCGGUGGAGCAUGUGGUUUAAUUCGAAGCAACGCGAAGAACCUUACCAGGUCUUGACAUCCUCUGACAACCCUAGAGAUAGGGCUUCCCCUUCGGGGGCAGAGUGACAGGUGGUGCA
rnacentral:rRNA from 1 species